rnacentral:rRNA from 1 species
UACGUAGGGGGCGAGCGUUGUCCGAAGUUACUGGGCGUAAAGCGCGCGUAGGCGGGUUGGCAAGUCUGCUGUGAAAGCCCGGAGCUUAACUCCGGAGGGUCGGUGGAUACUGCCAAUCUUGAAGGGACUAGGGGGAGAUGGAAUUACCGGUGUAGCGGUGAAAUGCGUAGAGAUCGGUAGGAACACCAGUGGCGAAGGCGGUCUCCUGGGGUUAUCUUGACGCUGAGGAGCGAAAGCCAGGGGAGCAAACGGG